rnacentral:rRNA from 1 species
UACGUAGGGCGCAAGCGUUGUCCGGAAUUAUUGGGCGUAAAGAGCUCGUAGGCGGCCUGUUGCGUCCGCUGUGAAAGCCCGGGGCUUAACCCCGGGUCGGCAGUGGAUACGGGCAGGCUAGAGUUCGGUAGGGGAGACUGGAAUUCCUGGUGUAGCGGUGAAAUGCGCAGAUAUCAGGAGGAACACCGGUGGCGAAGGCGGGUCUCUGGGCCGAUACUGACGCUGAGGAGCGAAAGCGUGGGGAGCGAACAGG